rnacentral:siRNA from 1 species
UCACUUCAAGUGUUUGAGCCA